rnacentral:rRNA from 1 species
UACAGAGGUGGCAAGCGUUGUUCGGAAUUACUGGGCGUAAAGGGCGCGUAGGCGGCCUUCUAAGUCAGACGUGAAAUCCCCCGGCUUAACCUGGGAACUGCGUCUGAUACUGGGAGGCUUGAGUAUGGGAGAGGGAUGUAGAAUUCCAGGUGUAGCGGUGAAAUGCGUAGAUAUCUGGAGGAAUACCGAUGGCGAAGGCAGCCCCCUGGGCCAACACUGACGCUCAGGCACGAAAGCGUGGGGAGCAAACAGG